rnacentral:rRNA from 1 species
GUGUCAGCCGCCGCGGUAAUACGUAGGGGCCUAGCGUUGUCCGGAUUUAUUGGGCGUAAAGAGCUCGUAGGCGGUUCGGCAAGUCGGAUGUGAAAUCUCCACGCUUAACGUGGAGGGGCCAUUCGAAACUGCCGUGACUCGAGUCCGGUAGGGGAGUGUGGAAUUCCUGGUGUAGCGGUGAAAUGCGCAGAUAUCAGGAGGAACACCAGUAGCGAAGGCGGCACUCUGGGCCGGUACUGACGCUGAGGAGCGAAAGCGUGGGGAGCGAACAGGAUUAGAUACCCUCGUAGUCC